rnacentral:lncRNA from 1 species
CUCACCCCUCUCUCUCUCUCUCUCUCUCUCUCUCUCUCUCUCUCUCUCUCUCUCUCAUCAAGUUCCACCACUUUCACUUCCAUGCCUCUUUUUUUUUUAUUUGAAGUGUUUGUCUCUACCAUCUGAUUCUUCAAUGAAUAUGAACUUAAAUGUCUUUACUGUUUGGUGUCUGGAGUAUAUAGUGGCUAAAUAGUAAGCUUCUUGUUCUUGUCUAUCCACAGUGCUUUGGAUGAGGGUGUAGCAGAUAGAUCAUGAAGCUAAAAACACUCGAACUUUCUUUUACUUCCUAUUUAAGAAUUUGAAUCAUGAUGAAAAGCAUUUUCAUGGCUUUAUGAAUAUUCACUAAUAAGUGAUUCUUCACAAAUGAUAAUAACUGUUAUUACAACACCUUUUUAUAUUUUUCACUCCUUAGUAUGUUAACUAAAACAUUGUAUUUUCGGUACUUCCAAGUUGUUAGAGAAAAUAAUUCUUUUGCAUUAUAUCAGAAUGCGAGAUCCUAAAUUUUUGAACACUUUUAAGUGUUUAGUUAGGUUUAACUUAAUUUUCUUUCAUUAAUUUAUUUCAAAAGUCCUGUAUACCCAAGAAAAAGUCUUGAAAUUUUAGAUAAUUGAAAUACGUACCGUUCUCUGAUAGCUUAAAGUUUCAUAGAUAGAAAACAGUUAAUAGUUUCACAUGAUGCACACAAUGCUCAUUCUUUUGUUUUUUUUCAUUGAUUUCUGCAGGGUUUCAGAAAGAUAGUGGCAGAUAGGUGGGAGUUUGCCAAUGAGUUCUUCAAGAGAGGAGCCAAGCACCUGCUCUCAGAGAUCCACAGGAGAAAAUCCUCUCAACCUUCUUCUCACCAUUACUACCACUCUCCGCCGCCGCCGCCGCUGCCGCCGCCUUCUUCUUAUAAUCACCACAACCCCCACCCAGAAGAUCAUAUGAGCAUCAGUUGGAUCAAUGAUCCCUCAGCACUGCUCCCUCCUCCUGCUCAUUCCAAUGUUGGUCAUGAUCAUAACAACGCCUCCGAAUUCCUCUCGGCGCUCUCCGAAGACAACCAGCGGCUGCGGCGGCGCAACUCGGUGCUCCUUUCGGAGCUCACCCACAUGAAGAAGCUCUACAAUGACAUCAUCUACUUCCUCCAGAACCAUGUCACCCCUAUUUCCCCAAGACCCAGUAAUUGCAGCAGCAGGAUCCUUGAGCUGGGCCCUUCAACUCAAUACCACCCUCCUCAUCCUCCUCAUCCUCCUCCUCCUCCUCUCUACAGGAUCCGUAAUUGCGCGAUGGAGAUAGCGGAGGAAGAGGAGGAGGAGGAGGAGGAGGAGGAGGAGGAGACCGAUGGCGGCGCCGUGAAGCUCUUUGGGGUUCCAAUUCAUGGUAAGAAGAGGUUGCAUGAAGAAACAGCUACUGUACCAGAUGAAGAAUCUGAUGAUCAUGGGAGCAUUUAGGAUACUAGGAGUAGUAAUAAUACUAGUAUUUAGUAGUAGUAGUAGUAGUAGUAGUAGUAGUAGUAAGAAAGCAUUUAGGAUUGCUUUAGUUAAGAGGAAGAGUUAGAUGUAUAUAGGCUUGGCUUAUUUGUUUGAGGGAGAGUAGCUAGUGAAGGAGAAAAAAAAAAAGAAAAAAAAAAAAAGAAGGUUCCAAAAAAAGCUUAUAUUGGCCAAGCCAUUCUUAUCCAAGUCUUAUUUGAGUAAGCCUCACAUCAAAAGAAUCUCUCUCACUCUUGUUUCUUACUUUGAGGAUUAUUGUUUUUUUGAUUUUUUUUUUUUUUCGUUGGUUUGGAUCAAGACUAACUAGUACUCAUUUGGUCUUUUUAGUCUUUAUUUAAAGGGAUAGUCAUGUACUCUUCCAUCUUUGGAUCACUAAAGAUAGGUUUGGUGAUUUAUAUAAGGCUAAAUUACACUUUUGGUCCUCAAAACUAUGAGGCUUAAAAUAAUUUUAACCUCAAACUUAAAUUUGUUAUAAUUUCUAACUAGAAUAUUUUAAGCUUGUUAUAAUUAAAUCUCAUCCUACAGUAUAGUUUAGCUGACUCGAUAAUAGUCACGUGCUACUCGUAUGAUAGUGAUAUAAUGAUAAUCACAACAUAUGUGACAAAAAUUAUACAAUUAGAUACUAAAUUAUUGUUAUAUCAGUGACACAUUAUUAUCUUGUCAACUAAAUUGAAUUGUGAAACUUAAUUGUAAUAGUCUGAGAUUCAGCCACGGUCUCGAUGAAGAAUCAUGAUCAUGUAAGCAUUUAGAGGAAAAGUAGGAGAGCUUUUAGAAGCUUAGUUAAGAGGAAUAUAUAUAGAUGCUUAUAGGCUUGGUUUAAUUGUUGAGAGAAUAGCUAGUGAAGAAAGAAAAAAAAAAAAAAGAGAAAAAAAGAGAGGCGUAAAGUAAAGAAAAAAGAAAAAAAAAAAAAAAAAGUUUAUUGGCCGGUAGCCAAGCCAUUCAUGUCCAUCCAAGUGUUACUUGGAUAACCCUCACAUCAAAAGAAUCUCUUUCUUGUUUCUUGUUGAGGAUAUAUAUAUACUCUCCUUUUCUUUUCUUUUUUUUGAGUAAAUUACAGUUUUGGUCCUCCAACUAUGAGUACUGUGUCAUUUUCGUCUUCAAAUCUUAAUUUAUUAUAAUUUUUUGAUUCAAACUUGUGGAAAUAUCAAGUCUCGCAAUCCAACUUAGUUGACGAAAUAUUUAUGUGUUACUAAUAUGAAAGUAAUUACAUAUUAGUGCUGUAAUUAAUGAUGCGGUAAUAAUUAAGAUGCCACGUCACUUUCAAAUUAGUGAUGGUCACUAUUCAGUUUACUAAAUUAGACGGAUAUUUUUUAUAACUAAUCCUAUCAAUUUUUAUAAUUAUAAAAAUAGUUUUCUUAAAAAAAUAAUUAUAAAAUUGACCUUUAAAUGCGGUUAAUGAUUCACCACAUUCAUAACUUCUAUUUAGCAGUAGAAAAAUAAUAAAAGCGGUGAAUCAUUCACCGCUUUUACCAUCGUAGAAUUAUAAUAAAAAGGAAGAAAAAGAAAGAAAACAGUGAAUAGUUCACCGCUUUUAAAAGUAGUGAAUCAUUCACCGCUUUUAUAAGACUAUAUCUACGAAUAAAAUUUUAACAGAUUUAUUUUUAAAAUAAAAUUUUAGAAGAUGACUAUUGAACUAAAAACCCCAAAUUAGGCUGUAGCAUGUGAAACUUAAUUAUAACAAUUCAAAAAAUUUAAAUUAAAUAUUAUAAUAAAUUUAAGUUUGAGAACCAUGAUGUCAUGCACCUCACAGUUUGAGGCCCAAAAGUGUAUUUUAUUCCUCUUUUAUUUUUUGGAUCAUGACUAAGCAGUACUAGGUUGAUCUUUUAUUAUGGUACUCUCUAUCUUUUAAGAGCCUGCUGUGCUCUGCCAUCUUAAUUUUGGUCAGUUAGUGCAGUUUUGGGUAAUUUAAAUACAUGUUCUUCAUUUUUUUUAGAAAAUUAAUUUUAGAAGAGUUUUGUAUCUUCUCAUCUCUUUAUUAUUUAUUUUUUUAAAAAAUAAAUUUUACAUAUCAAAAAGUACAAGAGUGAACAGUAAAUUACUUGCAUUAAUUAGUUCAUCAAAAAUAUUUACUGAACGAUGUGAUCUUUAGGAACGGCGUAAUCUUUAGGAUUGGUAGCCUACCGGUGGGUAAUUUAGGAGGUCAGGAAUCGCGUGAUCUUUAUGAAGACCCACGUGAUCUUUAUGAAGACCCAACCGGACCCCUUCUUUGUAGCUUAUAAGAUUAAGCAGCUGACGAAUCUUUGGAAGCAAUUUCUACUAGGUAAUUGACGACGCGCUUGUAGUCGGUAUGUUUUUGUUUUGCUUUGUUUUUUAUUUUUUGUCCUUUUUUCUUUUUGCCCCCUCCGAGGCCUAUGUUGCUUCACCCCUGUAGCUUAGUUCACCUUUUCGAUGAAUGAAGCGGGUAGCGUGCUACCUAUUUCUCAAAAAAAAAAAAUUUAUUGAACAACAAAAUACAAAAACUUGAAAAUAAAUUUUCUUUUGCUUCCAAAUUAUUUUAAAAUAAAUUGGUCAUCCAUCACUUAAUUGAUUGCAUUGCAAGCUAACAAACUAUAAUAACUAAAAAAAAAAAUCUUUCUUUCAAUAGAUCAAAUUAUAAAACUUAAUAUUUUAAAAAAUAAAAAAAAAUAACAACGAUACCAAACAAGGCCUUAAUCUUCCUAAUUAAGUGUUUUGUUUUUUUUUCUGGGUCAUAAAAGUCCAUUUUGAAUAUAUAUUUUUGAGAAAUGAAAUAAAUUAAAUAUCAGUAACAAUUUUAAUUGGUCUCUCCUUUUUUACAGUUUUACUAAUAUAAAUAUUAUGUGUAUACAUAUCUAAUUAUUACAAUAAGAAAUGCUAUUUGUACAUCAACUUAAGUGAACAAUGCAUAUUUUACAACACCUUACUCUAGGAUUUAGAAUUUUCUUUCGGUAUUUAGUAUUAAAAAAUUUAAAAAUAAUAAGACUAGUGUGAAAAAGUUGACCUUGGACCGCGUUGCUGUAACAUAUAUACAAUCGAAAAAUUUGACAUACAAACUAUGUAUCACGGACACUUUUGUAAACCUCGUGUGUUCGUGUCGGACGCGCGCGUGUCCAUGUCCGACAUCUAUCCGAUGUGGACACUUUUUCGACACCCAUUUUAUAUUGAUCCAUAACGCAUCCAAUUAAAAAAUAUAUAUAUCUUCUUUUUUUUUUAACUUUUUCUAUGCAUAAAUAAUCUAAAAUGAUAAAUAUUUUAACUUUUUUGAUGAAUGCAUAUAUUUUUUUUUUGAAAAUAUAAAUAAAUUAUGUAUGGUGAAGAAUUUCGUUUCUUAAAAUAUAUGAAUUAUUAAUGAAAAUUUUACUAACUUUCAUUCGUACGAGAAAUACAAUAAUAUUUUAUCAAAAUUAAUAUUUCAUACAUAAUAGAAAUAUAUUAUUAUAUUAAUAAUAUUUUAUUUUAUUAGCAAUGUCCAUGUCGUAUUUUUUUGGAAGUUGCCAAGUCGCGAAGUCCAAAUCGUGUCGUGUCUCGUGUCCUGUAUUAGUGUCUGUGACGCCUAACAUACAAAUAAUAUUGCUCUGUUAACUUUGUAAAUUUUGUGUACCUAAUAAAUGUAAAAUUGUACUGAAGAGCUACAUAGGUAAAAUUAUAAAUACUAAUAGAAGAGUAUUUCUUAGAUUCAAUCACUAGUCAACAGGGAUUUUUAUGAAAUAAAAACUUUAAAGGUUACAAUAUUUUUUUAGAAAAUAAUCUUUGAUAUAUAUAUAUAUAUAUAGAGAGAGUUGGACUGGGCUACUAUUAGUAGCAAAAUUUCAUUGUUGCUACCAGUUUUUUAGCCUUUGGAUCAAUUCUUUUCAUUAUUUCUAACCAUUAGAUUAAAUACUAUAACUCAGUGGGGACCACUCAACCCUAGGGGGAUCACUCAACUCUAACUGACUAAUAUCAUCCUGACCCUACAAUUUUUCAUCCAAGGAUUAAAAACUUGAUAGCAAAAAGAGUGUUUUACUAUUAAUAGUAUUCCAGCAUAAUUCUCUCUCUCUCUCUCUCUCUCUCUCUCUCUCUCUCUAUAUAUAUAUAUAUAUAUAUAUAUAUAUAUAUAUAUAUAUAGAACUAGGCUGGAAUACUUUUAGAAGCACCAACCCCUUGGUGCUUCUAAGUUUCUACCCCUUGGAUCUACUCCUUAAUUACUUAUAGACCUUAGAUCAAACAAUAUUCCACCUACCACCACCUACUUCCACCUACCACUAUCAUCCCAACCCUACAUCUCUCCAUCCAAAACCUAAAAACUCAAAAGCACCACUCCCUUGUUUUCGAUGAUAGGACGUUCGUUUCGACGAUCGGCUCUGUUAGGUAUGAUCUACCCUAUUGGAACUAUCUAGAAACCAAAUUUUAGAUUUUUUUUGACAUCAUUUACUAAGCGAUCAAAAGGUCUAAAAAAUGACUAUUUUAACGAUCGAUGUGGCACAUUUUUAAGUUCAACGGUGUAGAAGUAUCCAAAUUACAUAAAAAUUUAAUAGAAAAUUCUACUUAACAUCAGUAGCAAGAUCAAUACUUCCGAUUUAAAAGUUGAAUCCUUUAUCACUAUUUUUUAUGAGAUUUUUAUUUUCAACCGUUCAUUUUGAGACUACUCGUUCACUAGACAAAUGAAAUCAAAAAAUUAUGAAAUUUGGUUUCUAGAUAGUUCCAAUAGCGUAGAUCAAGUUUAAUGGAACCGAUCGCCGAAUCGGACGUCCCAUCAUUGAAAACAACUUAAAAGCACGGGGCCUCCCGUACUUUCGAAAGCAUAGGAGCCUAGCUCAUAUAUAUAUACAUAUAUAUAGAGUUAGGCUGGUAUACUAUCGGUAGCACGAAUGCCUCCGUGCUACCAAGUUGUUUUCAAUGAUGCGGCUUCUAAAUUGACGAUCGGCUCCGUUAGACUUGAUCUACACUAUUAAAAGUAUUUGAAAACUAAAUUUCAUAAUUUUUCGACAUCAUUUACCUAUCAAACGAGUAGUCUAAAAAUGAACGGCUGAAAAUAAAAAUCUCAUAAAAAACAGUGAUAAAGAAUUCAAAUUUCAAAUCGGAAGUAUUGGUCUUGCUAUUGAUGUUAAGUAGAAUUUUCUAUUAAAUUUUCAUCUAAUUUGGAUACUUCUACACCGUUGAACUUAAAAACGCAUCAUAUCUACCAUUAAAAUUGUUAAUUUUGGAACCUUUUGAUCACUAGCCAAAUGAUGUCGAAAAAUUAUGAAAUUUAGUUUCCAAAUACUUUUAAUAGUGUAGAUCAAGUCUAACGGAGCCGAUCGUCNNNNNNNNNNNNNNNNNNNNNNNNNGGUACCUUAAUGUAAAUUAAUUUUUUUUUUCUAGAGAUUUUAUAAGAAUAAUUAAAUAGAGGGUGAUACAUGAGAUUUUAAUGCACAAGGUUUCUUCUAAAAUUUUAUUCUAAAAUUAGACCCGUUAAAAUUUUAUUUGUAAAUAUAGUUUUUGUUUUGCCACGUGGGUGCCAGCACGGCGGGGAGCGAAAAAAAAAUACAUGAAAACGAUGAAUGGUUCACUGCAUUCGUCAAAUUUUUUACGGUCCUAUGAAAGCAGUGAACGGUUCACUGUUUUUAAAAACGAAUAACCAUUCACUGCUUUCUUCCCAUUUUCUUCCAUACCACCUCUUCUACGUCUCCAUGACGGCAGGUUCGUUGGCGAUAGGGGGUGCGUCGACAACGGCGCUGUGGUGAAAAGAGAUAGAGGAAGAGAAAGAACGAUGAAAAAAUGAGAGAGAAGAAGAGAAAGGUUCCAAAGCAGGUGCAACGGCCGAUGCAAUGACAGCAGCGACGACGGCGGCGGCAGCGGCGGCAGAGGGGGGGUGUGAGUGAGAGCAAGAUAAAGAGAACAUAGAGGGAGAAAUGAAAGAAUGAGAGAGAGAAUCAGAGAGGGAAUAUGGUGAAAUAAUAAAGACGGUGAAUGGUUCACCGUCUUUAAAAAUAGUUUUAUUAGUUUUGGGAGAAGUUAUAAAAACGGUAAAUAAUUCGUCACAUUUAAAUGCAUUGAUUUAUUCACUACUUUUAUUAUUUAUUUUUUCAAAACUUCAAUCUGACAUAUUAAGAGUUCUAUUUUUACCAGUGAAGGUACCCGCGCGAUGCGAUGGAUCGAUUUCAUAGAAGUAGAUGAUCAAUUUUCAUAGAAGUGGUAAAUCGAGAAGUAGUUGAUAGUAGCAGAAAUGAACAAAUGAGAAAAUAUAAACAGUUAGCAAUAAUUGGUGGUACACAAAUAUACCAACAGUUAAGAACCAAUAGUCAGUAGUAAUAAUGAACAAAGCAGCGCAUUAGCAGUAAACAAAAACAUAUAGUUGAGGAGAAGUAAACAAUGGAGCAAUUGAAGAACCCCCAAACCAGAUCUAAAACAUCAAAACCAAUCUAGUAACUUUACAUUAGGUAGAAAGUGAUGCAUAUCUGGAAGCUUGAGUGUUCUUGUUACCCAGUCAUCACUUCGAUCAACGGCAUUGCCUGCGCCAAGAUUGUCGUCCUCCAUGUCUACCACCACCACGCCUGUGCCGCUGGCUCAUCCACCUUGUCUUCCUCCACCGUACGAUCCAACCCUUAUUGCUUCGGACCCUAUGCCCUCGUGCGUCACACUUGCCGCACCCACCAAAGGUUUCUCACUGAUGGCGGGGAGGAUGGGUCUAGCAACUCCUUUUUCAGCGACGGCAAUAGCAGCGACAGCCUCUUCGGUAGCAGCGGGGCGGCGGAGGGUGGGGCUCUAGCGACGGUGGAGUGGGCAUGUAGGAGCGUGUCAAAUCUAAAGAGAGAGAGAGUGAGAGAGAAAAGAUGGAAGACGACAUAUCGUAAAAUUGCAUAGUAAAGAAAUUAAAAAUAAGAAGAAUGCGGACACAUUAAUUAUAAAAUAACGGAUAGGAAUGUAAAAAGGUGGCAACACUUCAUAGUAACAAAAUAAAAUUUUUGAAAGUGAAACCUAUUCUAAUAUAUAAUUUAAAUAAGAAUAUAAAAAGAUGGAUCAAAAUAAAUUCGUAUACAUUUGAAGGUAUUGACACUAUCAUUAUUUUAUUUAAUUGAAUCCACAAAUAUAAAAAGAAUCAAUGCUAUUUUGUAAAAGAAUUUCUCUUUUUUAUAGUAUGAAUUUUAUAUUCACAAUUCACUCUUGAUGUGUUAAAAAUAAAAUUAUAUUGUUCAUAUAGGGUUGUGGAUUUUAAUUAGGUCUUUUAAAACUUUUUAAAAAAAACCAAAAAUACUUUUUGCAAUGUUCAUGUCAGUUACCUUGUACUUAAUGCACAAUUAAUAUGUUUCUCAAUAGUAUUAAUUAAGUUAUCUAAUAAAAUCUAAGAUUCAUCAGUUUCAUACAUUUUCUUAACUUUCUAUUAGCAUUAGUCAUUAGCAUUAACCUAUUAUCAGCUCAUGCAGCUUUCAUAUAGUUUUAUAGAUAAUUAUUUUUUAAAAAAAUUAUUUUUGUAGUUGUAAAAAUUGGUAGGAUCAUUUAUAAAAAUAUUUAGGGUGACAUAUACUAUUACAUUAGGGACGUGUUUGGUUCGCUUCUUUUUCACCCUGUAAUCGGAAUCGGAAUGGGUGAAUCCGUUUGUGGGUGUUUGGUACGCGGGAGUCUCAUUCUGAUUCUGAUUCCCGAAUGGAAUGAGAAUUGAAUCCGGACGGAAUUGAUAUUUAUUCGGAUUAAAUUUAUUUUUUUAACUUUUUUAAUUAAAAUAUAAGUUAAAAUUUAAAAAUUAAAUAUAUAAAUUUGAACUUAAAUUAAAAAUUAAAAUUUAAUCAAGUAUUUCGAACCUAACUUAUGAAUUUGAAUUUAAAUUAAGUUUGAAUUUGAAUAAAUCAAAAUUUAGUUUCAUAUUUUGAAUUAUCCACUCAACUUCAAAGUUUAAUUUGUUUAAAAAAAUAGAUUUAAAAUUUUGACAUUAUUUCAAAAUUUUGAUGUAAAUUUUUAAUAUUUAAUAUUUAAUUUGAAUUUAAAUUAAUAUAUUAUAAAGAUAACGUUAGUAUAUUAAUUUGAUUACGUUUUUAAUAUCCACCUGAACCAAACACCGACAAUAGGAAUGAUUUAUUUUGAUUCCGAUUCAGGUGAUGAACCAAACAAAAUUAGGUAAUGAGUCAUUCCGAUUCCGAUUCCAGCUUAUUUUGAUUCCGAUUCCGAUUCCGAUUCCCACGCCGACUUCGAACCAAACACGCCCUAGAUCUCUUGGUGGUACAGUACUGCAAAGCUAGAAUCCAAACAUUCUGCAGAAAAAUAAUUAAUGCUGCAAAUAAUAAUCAGAGCAUUGGAUGCUUCUUCUGUUCCAUCAAAUGAUUAAUUUGGAGACUUUUUUUUCUUAAAAAAUAUAUAUAACAAGCUAAGGUGAGGUAUCAAACUUUUACAUUGGAGAGAUGAUGCAUUGCAAUAUUAUUGCAAUGCAAAGCUUUGGAAGUGAGUUUGCUCACUCAUCAUAUAAGCACAAGAUGAGGGUUGUGAUUAGCGAUGCAAUGGGUACGGAUACUCGAAAUUUUUUUUUCUGAAUUCGAAUCCGAACUGAGAGGAUUUAUUCGAUGCUAAAAAGAUAUAGUUUCAAUAUAUUUCAGAUAGGAUAGUUCGUUUUGUCAAUCUAUAAUUUGGAUAUUUUGUUGGUUCCUUUUUAAGUUUAUCUUUAAUUCAACUUAAUUUUAUUAACUGUUGGAGGAGUUAAAUGGGUACUUAGCCAUAUUAUGAAGGGAAUAUUAGCAAUAUAGAUAGUUUUGAUAUUUUCUCUUAUUUUAAAGGGUAUUUUUCACAUUGGCAAUUUUAGAAAAGCUUUGGAUAAUCAGGGACGAACGAAAGUAGGGAUGUCAAUGGGUCGGAAUAAAGACGGCUUUUCAAAAAUCCGAACUCGAACUCAACUAUCGAAUCCGAAAUCUGAACCCGAACCCGAAUCUAAAGAAUUUUAAAAAUUCAUAUCCAAAUCCGGAUCUGGCCAAAAACCCGAAACUCGAACUCAAAUCCGAACCCAAAAACCCGAAUCCGAAAUAAUUAUUUUUCUUUACAAUAUUUCAAUACAUAUUACAUUAAAUCUAAAUUUUUAAAAUAUAAGUUCAAAUAUAGCAUCAAACAUUUAUAUAUAUUAUAUAACUUUAAAAUCAAUUCAGUUUCUGGUUGGGUUUGGAUUCGGGUUAGGUACAGUCAAAAUCCAUACCCAAAUUCAAAUCCGUCAAAUUUUCGUUUUUGAUAUCCAUAUCCGAAACUAUUUAUGUUUAGCAUAGAGUAAAUUCGCUCUAUUUGGAUUUGGGUUCAGAUGAAUUUUCGAAUAUUCGUAUCCAUUGACAUCCCUAAUUUACAAAAAUGUACUUCUAAAAUUAACCCAAAUGUUUAUUACCUUAUUAUAUCCAUGUUGAGUGGCCUUGGACUUGUCACAUAUAUGAUGGAAAUUGGUAACUUAAGUGCUCCAUUUUCUCUACUAUAUGGGCCAAGUUGGGGGCUUCCAAUUGGGCUUGAGAAAAGAGAAUAAAGAACUUGGGCUUGCCAACAUUGAUUAUCUAUUUAAAUACUCAAAUUGAAUUUGUAAUAAUGAUAUGUUUAAUACUCCAAACCUCUUAGAGUGAAGCCUAUAAAAGAAGAGGAAAAAAAGAGAAAGUAAAAGGGAUAUGGUUGUUUAAACAAUAAAUCUAUGCAUGUGAAAGUUAAGUUUCCUCAACUUUUUGCACGAACAGAGUUAUUUUUUUGUAUCAACUGAUUGAGUUUUGAUUAUUUCAACAGUUGGUAGAAAUAUUAACCUUCAGUAUAUAUAUAUAUGAUGUAGGGCUGUCAACAUGUCGGUUCCGGAGUGUUUCUGGCAAAAUGCUAAGCCGAAUCUUAAUAAAAUUAUAAUUGAAUUCGAACUCAUUGGAUUUUUAUUUUUUAUACUCAAAAUUGAAACCUUAUUCAUUUCGUAUCGGUUAAACUCAUCCUUAUUAUGAUUCAGGUUGGGAUAAAAUCUCUUAUAUCCAUCUCUAUUGACAUUGAUGUGACUAUUAUGUCACUUUUAUAUAUAUAUAUAUANNNNNNNNNNNNAUAUAUAUAUAUGUUCUAGAAGAGAAUCUCCUUUCGGGCUUUUAAUUAGGACCUAGUGCCCCUAUCUAUUACAAAGGCAACAAAUAAAAAAUAAAAAUAAAAAUGUUUAAAAAUAAAAUAAAAUUUUUUCUAUGUAAUUGGAUGGGUUGGACUUGGCUCCACUGCUUUAAAAUCAUUUGGAGAGAAGCCUUUGACACAUGGCUGGAAACUAUGGAGUAAUAAUAUCCAACAUGCAAUCCAAAUCCACAAGCUUCUCUCACAGGUGGCUAAAUAUUAACAACAUAAAAUAAAUAAAUAAAUAAAUAAGUUAGGGAUGUGCCAAUACUAAUUGACAACAUGCAUGAUUCCCCAACUUGCUUGAAAAGAAUAGGCCAAGUGAAAAUUUUAUGAAUAAAAAAGAGAAAAUUUUAAAGAUUAGAAAUCCAAGCUGUUGGCUCGGAUUCUCCGUUAGAACUUGACCUCCUAAAACACGCCAUGUUCGGCCGCUUAAUUCGGACCGAAUUUGGAUGAGCGCGACUCAGAUACAAAUAAAUGGUCGAAUCAUGAAAUCUCCGUGGUAGUUCUCUUAACAGAUACUAAUAAAUGGUCGAGACCGCCUGCCUCAACUUUCAUCAAUGGCUAAAACUUCGUUCUCUUGAUUUGAAAUUAUCUUUUGCCAAAUGUUGAGCGGCCAAGAUCAUCCGUCACCCUUUCAAUCCAACGGCCGAAAUUUCGCGUCAACAAGUCUGUACUGUCUGUUUGGACUAGCUUCUGAAGCAGCUUAUCUAUUACUUAUAGAAAUGAAUAGAUAGAUGUCCAAGGAUAUAUAAGAAGUUAUAAGCUUUUCGAAGAAUUUGAAGCAAAAGUUUGUGUACCAAAUUUGGAAUAUUUUACUCAAAUAGUUAUACGCAAACUCCACGGCAUGGGACAUUGUCUAGCAUGAAGCCCAACAAACUCUCUAUGAUCCCUAAUUUAAGGAUGUUAAUUGACCCCACGAAACCCACCUAACAUGAUCCAAAUCCAACAAACCUAUUAUAUUUGGAUCCUACCUUUUAUCCUAGGCUCAAUUCAAGUGAGCUGAAAUAAUAUAUUUACAUAAUACCUUCUCGCUUUUGCACUUAGGUCUUAUAAAUAUACUAAUCCGACCAGCUGAUACCUUUAUCCGCAAUUCACGUUAAACAUAUAGAACAAUUUUUUUUUUAAGGAAAAGAAAUAAAUACUUUUAAUGAACUUUAGUAAUGUGACAUUAGCCCCACUUUGGUUUCCUUAGCAAGUGAAAUGCACUACAUCUUAGGAGGCCAAUAAUUUGACACCACACAAUUAAUUCCCCCAUAAUCACCAAAACCUAUUGGCCCUUUUUUUUUAUAUUAUUAUUAUUAUGUCCCUUUGGGCAAACUCUUCUUUCAUCUCUUGUGUAGGCCACUUAACAUUUUAUUGACCAAUUUUUCCUUUUUGUGGAUUCCAAAGGGGAUUUGGUGACAACACAACAAGAUCAUGAUGGUGACUUGCUUCAUUAGUGGAUUGGUCUCUCUAUUUGUGGGAUAUUUUUUUCUUUUUUUUUUUUUCUUUUUUUUAAUUUGCUCAUCCACCACUUGUAGUGCAUCUAAGAUUUGGAGGAUCAAAGAAAAAGUUUAGUUCAAGAUUCCCCACCAAUCUUAUCUCAAGCUUCAUAUGUAAACCUAUCCUUAGCAGAUAAUCAAGCAAAAAGGUAGAAUUUUUUUUUUUUUUUUCACUAGCAAAGUAUUUGGGCCACAAUAUUUCAUUAAUUCCUAACAAAAAUUUAGGUUUUAAGCAUUCAUAUUUUAGAUCGGUAAAAGCAUACAAAACUUAUCUGAACUAUAAAUCAUUUUGAAUCGGCUAUCUAAUCUUUAAAAAUUUUAAUUUUUCUACCAAACUUUCGAAAUUAUUAGAUUUGAGUCAAUCAAUAACACUGACUUUAAAAUUUAAGUUAAUUACUUAUGUUAAUGAACUUAUAGUUGCGAAAAUUGUAUAAAAUAUAGUAAUUAAAUCUGUAAAAAUAACAAUAUAUUUAAAUUUUAAAGUCAAAGAACUAUUGACUAACUCAAAUCAAAUUAAAUUAAAAGGUUGGAUAGUACGUAAAAUCAAAAUUUUGAAAGAUUAGGUAGCUAUUUCAAAAUAGCUCACAAUUUAAAAGAAGUUCAAUACGUUUUAUCUUAAUAAUAUGAGAGCCACGCAGGCGGCAAAAAUGUUGAUAGUUGGUACCUGAACUUUCAAGUUUGAAGUCUAGUUACUUUAUAUUUUUAGCUAAAUUUAUUUCUAAAUAAAUAAAAAAAAUAAAUAGCAUCUACCUUUUUUAGAAAAAGAUAAUGUUGUCAUGAGGGCCCAAUCCCAAUAUCUUUUGAAAUACUAUGGGAGCUCAUAUCUCUCUCUCUCUCUCUCUCUCUCUCUCUCUCUAACAAAUGCUUGGGAAUCACUUUAUAAAAAGGUUGCUUAAAGAGUUGGCCACAAUGGAGAACCAACACAUUUAGCACAUGAUAUGUCUAAGGCAUCUCUAUGAUCUCUAUAUAUCUUAUUUAGUGGAUAAACCAAAAUUAAUCAACCAAGAUUUCUCUCUCUCUCUCUCUCUCUCUCUCUCUCUCUCUCUCUCUAAUAUUAAUUAUAUAUAUAUCUAUACUAUAUAUAAAGUCGUAUAUUCAAAUUUGGGUCUGUCGACAGACUAUUUUUCGCGGAAAAAUUAGUGCUCAUUUUUCUCUUUCCGUAAAAAUUUUAAUAUAAGAAUAAAAAUAGAAUAGAAACGCAAUGAAUAGUAAGUUCUCAAUAACAAGAUUACUGAUGUAUAAAAUCCUAAAAUAUAAAUUUUUCUAUUUAAUUUAAAAGUAAGUUUUCUAUAACAAAUUAGGGCUGUAAAAAUCUAUAAAAGAUAGUUUUCUAUUUUAUUUUAAAUAUCUUUUUUAGAUAUUAUCUAUUUAAUUUCAAAAUAUAUUUUCUUUUUAAAUAACGGAUUUUAUUUUUCUAUUUAAUUUCAAAUUUAUUUCCUAACAGAUUUUAUUUUUCUAUUUAAUUUCAAAGUAAUUUUGCAUAGAUAUUGUUAAUUAUUUAUCAUUUAAAGCAUAAUCUUUCUUAAUAGCUGAUUUAUUAUUUAAAUUUUUUAGAUACAUAUUUGGGAAUCAAUUAAAAUAUGGCCUAAAAUUAAAAAAUAUUUAAAAAAUUAUAACUUUUCUAAUAAUUAUACGUGUAUUUGCACGUACAUUUUACGUGUGUAUUAUAUAUAUUAUUUAUAUUAAUAUAUUAUAUUAUAUAUUAUAUUAUAUAUAUAUAUAAAUUGCACUAUGUAGGAAGAGAAUCAAGUCUAAGUUGAUUUUGUUCAAAGGUGGUGGAGCAUGGAAUAUAUGCACCUUUGUUGUUUCCUAUGUUUUGCUCUAACAUUCAUUCGUUUACUUUUAUGAGUAAACAUGUGAAAUAUUAGUAGAGGCGUGCAAUUUUGACCGAUUUUUAUAUUGACAUUUUUGCUUUUUUAUCGCUAACUACUAUUCAAAAUUUUUAAAUUUGUUUUAAAAUUACCAAAAUUAAUGCUCUUCUUAUUCCCAAAUCCUAUUAGUAAAUUUUAAAAGUUUGAAAAUAUUUAAUUUUUUUAAAAAAAUCAAUAAGAAUAUUUUGAUCAAUCAGGAAUAUAUUAGAUAUUUUUAAAGUUUUGAAGGGUAUGUUAGAUAUUAUCUUUUUUACCUUUUGUUUGAAAUCAUCCAAAUAAACAUUUAUGCCUCUAGAGUAGAAAAGGUUGCUUAUUAUUAAAUUGACUUUUCCGAUAACAUGGUAUCUGAGUUAAUCUUAAGUUUUUCAUUUUUAGGAUGUUCCCGAAGUUUUAUCUAAACCUGAAUUCAAAUUGGAUGGGUUUACUCGAAGCUCAACAGAUAUAAAUUCAAAUACGGGGAUAAAAAAGCCAAUACUGAUAAAUGAUAGCGGUUCCCUAGGGUUGAGUGGGUGGUUGGUUAAAUAGUAUGAUUUGAUGGAUGAAAAUGAUUAAUGGAAUAAAUCUAAGGGUCGAAAAAUUAUGAGUAUAAAAAAGUCAAUACUUAUAAAAGUAUAGUAGUCAGACUAUAUAUAUAUAAAACUAUAUAUAUAUAUAUAUAUUUAGUUUACACCUAAUUAACCCAAUUUCAAACCCCAUAAGAAUUUGAAUUAGUUUCACAUUAUGUAAUAUAUAUAUGAAUACUUUGAUGGUAUAUUUGAAUUUAUAUUUAGAUUUUAAUUUUAUAUGCUUCUAAAUAUGGUAGGAAGAAAAAACUAUUAUGGGUUUUAAGUUUUCGAGUUCGAAAUUGGAUUUUGGAUUUUUGAUCAAAUUCAGUUUUGAACAACAAUUUUCAAAAUCCUUCCGGUUUGAAUUCGGAUUCAAAUUUGAUUAUUGAUUUUGAAUUCAAAUUUUUAAAAAUUCGUCCCGAAUCUGUCCUGUUGACAUCUCUAGUAAAAAAAACAUGCGCACGCGCACACACACAUUUAGUACUAAUUCUCCUCAAAAAAAAAACAAGGGGGAAAGGAAAAGGCAAUGCAUGCAAAGGGGCCAAAGACAAGAAGAACACAUACAAAAGCAUAUUUAAUUGAACAUAAGUCCUAGUAAUCUAGGCCUUAUCUAGCUAACAACAAGGUUAAUAUUUUACACAUUUAACAACAAGGUUAAUAUUUUACACAUUUAUUUCCUUUUCAUUAGAUGGAAGGUACCAUCAUCCUUGGCUUAACAAAAGCAACAAGCAACCACCCAUUUUGGAAUCAUCACCUUGACUUGCCAUGCCCCUAAAACAACAUAACUAAUGAGUGUUGAACCUAAUAAUAAUAGAAUAAUAGAGGAAAUGACAAGCCACACACACACCCAUAUUCACAAAGAUAUUUUCAAGGUACAAAGUGGAUGGCAUUAAUAAGUAUUAGGUUGUUUUUCACUUUCGCUAUUCAGGACUUUUUUGGUUCACCUACGAUUAUAAAAUCGAAAUAAAAUUCAUUCAUUUUAAUAGUUGUUGUUUAUUUUACAUAGAUUAGAGUUCGAUUUUCAUUCCAUUUUGGAAUAGAAAUGAUCAAAUCUAACUUUGAAUUUUGAGUUGGCCUAUUCUAUAGUAAACCACUGGAACCCUCUCCCACAAGUACCUCCUCUUCCUUCAUCACUCUUUUCUUUCUAAAUCAAAAUCUAGACGUCACAUACACGGAGAAGAGAUACAGAACACGAUACAAUUCGAACAUGGCGAUUCAAUAGUUUCCAAAAUUAGGAUACGGAUAUAGAGAUAAUAUGAAUAUCGCUAAUAAACUAUAAAAUUAUUAAUAUAAAUAUAUAUAUAUUAUAUUUAAAAUAUUAAUUUUACUAAAAUACUUUUAUAUUUCUCGUAUGAAUUAAAGUUAAUAACAUUCUCAUUGAUAAUUUAUACAAUUUUAGAAAAGAAAUUCUUUACUAUACAUAAUUUAUUUAUAUUGUUCAAAAAAAUUUUAUAUCCAUUUAUUAAAAAUUUAAAAUGUUUAUUAUCUUACAUUGUAUAUGCAUAAAAAAGUAAUAUAUAUAUAUAACAUGGUGCUUGUAAAAGCACCAAGUACUUGGUGCUUUUAAAUUUUUUACCGUUAGAUCUACAUUUUUUAUCAUUUUCAACCGUUAGGUUAUACUAUUCAACCAACCACAUACUCAACCCUAGAGAGUCCACAUCAUCCUAACCGCACAUCUCUUAAUCUAAUGGCCAAAAAUCUACAAGCACCAAUAACUUGAUACUUUUAAAUACUAAAAUAAGUCCGGAUAUUACAUUAUUCCAUAUCUCAAUAUAUAUCCAAUUUGUAACGCAAAAAAUAUAUAAAAGUUUAGAUAAAACGAUAUCUCCUGUAUUGCUAGUACUAUCAAAAUUGUGCAUGAUAGUAAUUUAUAUGAUUUUUAUUACAUUACUAAUCAAUAACUUUAUCUGCAAAUUUAUUUUUAUAAAAUUUCAUAAUUGAAUUCAAUAAUUAUCCAAAUAGCUUGACCAAUUUGAAAUAAUGAUAAAGUGCAGAGAGAUAAUUGAUAUAUUUUUUUUAUAAAGAAAAGUAAUUGAGAUAAGCACUAAAGUGUUAAGAAGACUUUUUAUAAUUUAGCUUAAAUGGAAAGGCAGGUGUUCUUUGGAAUAUACCUGACCAGUUAGCAGGUAUAUAUAUAGGGUAGAAUUAAUUAUGGCUAGAUGUUAGGCUGAUCACAUUAGGGUUAGCAAUUUAGCCCGUUAUUCGCGAGCUAGCCCAUGUUCGGCUCGAAAUAAUCUCGAGAUUGAUCGCUCAUUUUAAUAAACGAGCUAAAGAAGAGCUGAAAAUCUUAAUGAGCUCGCUCGUGUUCGUCUCUCUCUCUCCCCCUCUCUCUCUAUGUAUAUAUAUUUGGAUGAUAGGCCAACCCAAAUGUACAAAAACCUAUAUUUUAUAAAUUUUAAUUAUUAGAUUAAAAUUCUAAUUUUCUUUCAAACUUUUCACCCAAUAGUAGAUCUGACGAUCUAGUUAAUUUGCUGUUGUGAGCCGGUUCAUGUUCGGCUCGUUAAUAAACAAGCAGAACACGAGCUGAAUUUUUCAGCUCGAUAUUUUACCAAGUCAACUCGUGUUCGGCAUUGUUUGAUAAACGAACGAACACAAGCCGGCCCAACUCACUCGUAUUCAGCUCGUUGACUGUCCUAGUUAACAUAUUAAAGAUCUUCUACUAAUUAUCUUCUGCUCAGGCACAAUUAUUAAGUCUAACCUAUCCAACAUUAUAUACCGCAAUAUCUAAUCACAGCUAUUAAAUAUAGAACUAUUCCCAAGCCUUUGGAAUGUCACAAUAAUGAUAGGUAUUUAGUCAAAUAUGCACUAAUGAAUAAUGUGGGGUUUAGUUCAUCCUAUAAUUAUCCAAAACAUAAUUGGCCCCACUUUAGGUUGUAAUGCUAUUUUUUAGGAGAAAUAUUAUAUCAAAGUACUACUUAUUUAUAGAUUUGUUCUACAGCAAAAUUAGAAAUAUUGAAGUAAAAUUAUGAUGCUGAGAUUUGAAAUAUUAUUAUUAUUAUUAUUAUUAUUAUUAUUAUUAUUAUUUUACUUUCUGCUUAAAAACUACAUUUUGUACCAAAUAAUCAGAGGGGGAUAAUAUCUAAUAUAUCCUUCAAAACUUCAAAAUUUUUUUACUUAUCUCGGGAGUACUAAAAUAACCUUAUUGAUUUUAAAAAUUUCUGCAAAUAUUUCUAUUUUUUCUACGGUUUACUAAUGAGAUUGAAUUUUAAAAAAAUAUUUUGAUAAUUUCAGAAUAAAUUUAAAAAUUUUAAAUAGUAGUAAGGAAGAUGUAGUAUCUCUCGAGUUUUGCAGGUGUGAGAUCUCAGCAUCUGAGACUUGUCGACACAUCUGGAGAGUGUCGGAACAAGUCUAAGUCGUUUUGGCACAAAAUAGACGCAAAACGGACUCAGUGUGAUGCCAGAGCAGAAUUUUGGCACUGAAAUCUGUAAAUUACAGAUUGUCAGCAUUGAGUACCGGUACCCCUGUAUAGAAUUUUUUAUUGCUGUUCUUGGGUUGCGAAGGCUGAUACGGUGUACUGGUACGACAUCGGUUUGCUAUCAAUACUCCAGGGUAGGUGAGGGGCCUUUUGGUCUUUUGAUGCACCGUUCAAACCAAGGCUUCCUCAGCCUUUUUAUACGUACAGAGAGCAUGGAGGAGGGGUUUGGCUGGCUGUUUCCUCUCUUUCUCUAGAUUUUGAUCGUGGUGGAGGUGGUGUUCGUGGCUCGAGCUCGGUUCGACGUCGACGGUUGUGCCGGGGAGUCGUUCGAGCGUACGAGUGUCGUGGUAGCACCGUUGGAGGCCGGGCGAGCACGUGUUUCUUCUUCUUCCGAGUUCUCGCCGUCGUGGAUUAGCGUUUCGAGGUGGGUUGAUGUUACCGGAAUUUUCAAAUUUCCUCCUAAGCCUAAUUGUUGUCGGCAUGUGUUUGGCUUCGUAGAGCAUGUUUAGUAGCUCGAUUCGUCGAUUUGCAUUGUUCUUAAAUGAAAUCUGAAUUGGAGCUUAGAGUGCUAGUUUUAUUAUACAUGUUGAACUUGGAUUUGACUUAGGAGAAAACUAUAGGUUCUACAUUGUCAUUUUUUAAAAACUAACAGAUUUAGCUUUAGGAGCUGUAGUUAGUUUGUAUCGCCGCAAUUUGUACGCGGUGGAUAUAAAGAAUUAUGUAGAAUGAAAUUACGCUCUUGCUGGGGUGCCGAAUUUAUUUUUACAGUAGUGUAUAUACUGUUCCGGGCUGUCAGGUGCCGUCGCGGUUGAUGGUUGAUCUAGAUUUCAGUAUUUUUCAUCAGAUUGUGCCGAGGGCACGCGAGUUAUGGUUGUUAGACCAGUUAGACCCUUCUUCUUUGACUAUAGCCUGUGAGAGCCUGAUUGAGCUCAGGAGAGAUACGCUUGCAUACUCGGUUGGGUAGCGCCCACGAGUGCCACUCCGGAGUCGGGCUUUGUGCUUUUGCGUUGUUGUCGGUUUGUCUUGUUUGGACUUGCUCUCCAUUGACGACCCAGUGUGUUGAUAGUAGUGUAGCUUCGACAGGCGGGACGGGUGUGUUCACAGUCCCUAAUGAGAUUGGGUCAGUGAUUGCAUUUUCUACAGAUAGUUAAUAUUGGAUCAUGAUAGUAUAGUAGCAUAUAGUUGUAGAAUUGUUUCAGCUUUCUUUACUAUCCUUGAGCAUACUUCUGUAGAGUUACUGGGUGAGCCGUUGAAGUCGGUAGCGGUACCCACUGAGGACUAUUUCGUUUUGCAGUAGUUCUCACACCCAGUUGUUGAACUCUUUUUGCAGAGUCUUCUUCUUCGGCUGCUGCUAUUGCGGAUACAGAUCAUGAAAAGGGAGUCGCGAGUUAGAUCCCUUCCCGUUUUGUUGCUGAUCUAGAGAUAUACCAGCUACAGGUAGUGUUGGUUUUUGGUUCUUGUACAUACUGAUAUUAGAUCCUCGCUGGAGCAAGUGUUAUGUAUUUGGAGACUAUGUAUGUAUAGAGAACCUGAUGUUAUUUAUACAUGUUUCAGUUUAGCAGAUCUAUACUACUAGUUGUAGUUUUGUAUGAUUACAGGUACAGAUACAGCUAUCGCUUCGUAUAUAGGGAAAAUUUCUUUGUAUAUGGCUGAUUUAUCGGCCUGCCCGGGGAAACGAAUAAUCCGGAAUAUGACAGAAGAAAUAAGCAAAAGCCUCUAAUCUGAGAUACCCUGCAAUUGUUAAAACAGAAGUCAUAUCAAAUUUAAAUAAGACGAUUCCACAUUAUUAAGUGUAGAAAAAAAAAUAUUUUUUUUCUAUGUUCUUUCUUAAGCUUAAAGGUAUAGAAAAUAUACAUAAAUAGAAAAGAAAGAUAGGAGUCUAUUUUUUAAUCCAACUAUAUUAAAACUUUGGGUUUUAAUUAAAUUAAAGCAAGAUCAUCNUAUAUAUAUAUAUAUAUAUAUAUAUAUAUAUAUAUAUAUAUAUAUAUAUAUAUAUAUAUAUAUAUAUAUAUAUAUAUAUAUAUAUAUAUAUAUAAUGAGAUAUGCCAUAAAUUCGUGUCAAAUGCACGUUGACGUGUUCCCAUCGGACACGAGUGUGACACGAACACCCACAUGUCCGACAUGAACAUACAAGGUUUAUAGAAGUACCCAUAAUACAUAAACAAAAAUUCUCUAUCCAAACCCUAGAUGUCUAUCAUGAUAUCUAUUCUAAUAAGGAAUCAAAUAUUUUUAGAUGAUUCGUCAUUCCAUUUUUCAUUCUAAUAUAAUCCGAUUCCAUCUCCUAUUUCUAUUUCAAUAAUAAACCAAACAUGCCCUUAGAACUAUCUUAGGCUUUUCCUUUGCUUGGAAGAUCGAAUGCAAGAUGGAGUAAUGAAAGUGCAAGAUGUGGCAAGAUGGUAUUAAAUUGAAGGCUAACGUCCGGUCUCAAUUACUCUCCUGUAUUAAAAAUUAUAUCAAUUAUCACUUUGCACUUUGUCAUCAUCUCAAAUAGAUUCAAAAAUUAUAAAGAGUAGCAAGUUAGGCAGCAAAACUUUACUAAAAUAAGUCGGGAUAUUACAUUAUUCCAUAUCUCAAUAAUCCAAUUUGUAACGCAAAAAAUAUAUAAAAGUUUAGAUAAAACGAUAUCUCCUGUAUUGCUAGUACUAUCAAAACUGUGCAUGAUAGUAAUUUUUAUGAUUUUUAUUACAUUACUAAUCAAUAAUUUUGUCUGUAAAUUUAUUUUUAUAUAAUUUUAUAGUUGAAAAUUCAACAAUUAUCUAAAUAGCUUGACCAAUUUGAAAUAAUGAUAAAGUGCAGAGAGAUAAUUGAUGUAAUAUUUUAUGAAGAAAAGUAAUUGAGAUAAGCACUAAAGUGCAAGAAGACAUUUUAUAAUUUAGCUUAAAUGGAAAGGCAGGUGUUCUUUGGAAUAUACCUGAUCAGUUAGCAGGUAUGUAUAUAGGGUAGAAUUAAUUAUGGCUAGAUGUUAGGCUGAUCACAUUAGGGUUGGCAAUUUAGCCCGUUAUUCGCGAGCUAGCCCAUGUUCGGCUCGAAAUAAUCUCGAGAUUGAUCGCUCAUUUUAAUAAACGAGCUAAAGAAGAGCUGAAAAUCUUAAUGAGCUCGCUCGUGUUCGUCUCUCUCUCUCUCUCUCUCCCCCUCUCUCUCUAUGUAUAUAUAUUUGGAUGAUAGGCCAACCCAAAUGUACCAAAACCUAUAUUUUAUAAAUUUUAAUCAUUAUAUUAAAAUUCUAAUUUUCUUUCAACUUUUCACCCAAUAGUAGAUCUGAUGAUCUAGUUAAUUUGCUGUUGUGAGCUGGUUCAUGUUCAGCUUGUUAAUAAACAAGCAGAACACGAGCUGAAUUUUUCAGCUCGAUAUUUUACCAAGUCAACUCGUGUUCGGCAUUGUUUGAUAAACGAACGAACACAAGCCGGCCCAACUCACUCGUAUUCAGCUCGUUGACUGUCCUAGUUAACAUAUUAAAGAUCUUCUACUAAUUAUCUUCUGCUCAGGCACAAUUAUUAAGUCUAACCUAUCCAACAUUAUAUACCCCCAUAUCUAAUCACAGCUAUUAAAUAUAGAACUAUUCUCAAGCCUUUGGAAUGUCACAAUAAUGAUAGGUAUUUAGUCAAAUGUGCACUAAUGAAUAAUGUGGGGUUUAGUUCAUCCUAUAAUUAUCCAAAACAUAAUUGGCCCCACUUUAGGUUGUAAUGCUAUUUUUUAGGAGAAAUAUUAUAUCAAAGUACUACUUAUUUAUAGAUUUGUUCUACAGCAAAAUUAGAAAUAUUGAAGUAAAAUUAUGAUGCUGAGAUUUGAAAUAUUAUUAUUAUUAUUAUUAUUUUACUUUCGGCUUAAAAACUACAUUUUGUACCAAAUAAUCAGAGGGGGAUAAUAUCAAAUAUAUCCUUCAAAACUUCAAAAUUUUUUUAUUUAUCUUGGGAGUACUAAAAUAACCUUAUUGAUUUUAAAAAAUUUCUGCAAAUAUUUCUAUUUUUUCUACUGUUUACUGAUGAGAUUGAAUUUUAGAAAAAUAUUUUGAUAAUUUCAGAAUAAAUUUAAAAAUUUUAAAUAGUAGUAAGGAAGAUGUAGUAUCCCUGGAGUUUUGCAGGUGUGAGAUCUCAGCAUCUGAGGCUUGUCGACACAUCUGGAGAGUGUCGGAACAAGUCUGAGUCGUUUUGGCGCAAAAUAGACCCAAAACGGACUCAGUGUGAUGCCAGAGCAGAAUUUUGACACUGAAAUCUGUAAAUUACAGAUUGUCAGCAUUGAGUACCGGUACCCCGGUAUAGAAUUUCUGAUUGCUGUUCUUAGGUUGCGAAGGCUGAUACGGGGUACCGGUACGACAUCGGUUUGGUAUCAGUACUCCAGGGUAGGUAAGAGGCAUUUUGGUCUUUUGAUGCACCGUUCAAACCAAGGCUUCCUCAGCCUUUUUAUAUGUACAGAGAGCAUGGAGGAGGGGUUUGGCUGGCUGUUUCCUCUCUCUCUCUCUAGAUUUUGAUCGUGGUGGAGGUGGUGUUCGUAACUCGAGCUCGGUUCGACGUUGACGGUUGUGCCGGGGAGUCGUUCGAGCGUACGUGUGUCGUGGUAGCACCGUUGGAGGCCGGGCGAGCGCAUGUUUCUUCUUCUUCCGAGUUCUCGCUGUCGUGGAUUAGCGUUUCGAGGUGGGUUGAUGUGACCGGAAUUUUUAAAUUUCCUCCUAAGCCUAAUUGUUGUCAGUAUGUGUUUGGCUUCGUAGAGCAUGUUUAGUAGCUCGAUUCGUCGAUUUGCAUUGUUCUUAAAUGAAAUCUGAAUUGGAGCUUAGAGUGCUAGUUUUAUUAUACAUGUUGGAUUUGGAUUUGACUUAGGAGAAAACUAUAGGUUCUACAUUGUCAUUUUCUAAAAACUAACAGAUUUAGCUUUAGGAGCUGUAAUUAGUUUGUAUCGCCGCAGUUUGUACGUGGUGGAUAUAAAAAAUUAUGUAGAAUGAAAUUACGCUCGUGCUGGGGUGCCGAGUUUAUUUUUACAGUAGUGUAUAGACUGUUCCGGGUUGUAGGGUGCCGUCGCGGUUGACGGUUGAUCCAGAUUUUAGUAUUUUGCAUCAGAUUGUGCCGAGGGCACGCGAGUUAUGGUUGUCAGACCAGUUAGACCCUUCUGCUUUGACUAUAGCCUGUGAGAGCCUGAUUGAGCUCAGCAGAGAUACGCUUGCAUACUCGGUUGGGUAGCGCCCACGAGUGCCACUCCGGAGUCGGGCUUUGUGCUUUUGCGUUGUUGUCGAUUUUGUUGGCCCAGUGGCCCUAAUCAUCUAUUAGAUUUUGAUGAUAACAAAUAAUCACGAUUAUUGGACUAAUCUCUUUAUCUUGAGUCUUGUGUUUUAGAUCUCUCUAUCUUCAAAAAGGAUUCAAGAUGGGCAAUAUUCUGGCACCAAGCUUCACCUCUUGAAGCUGUGUCUGCUUCUUUUGUCAAACAGACAAACUCNGGCGGGGACGUAGGCAAAGUGCCGAACCUCGAAACAAAUUGAUCGUGUGUUUUUCGAGUUUGCAUUUCUUUUAUUUGCAUCGGUUUUUUAAUUUGCUUGAUUAUUUGGAUUUUUAUUUUAGAAACCUAAUUCACCCCCCCUCUUAGGUUGCCAUUUUGAUCCUCAGAUUUGUCUUGUUUGGACUUGCUCUCCACUGACGACCCAGCGUGUUGAUAAUAGUGUAGCUUCGACAGGCGGGACGGGUGUGUUCACAGUCCCUAAUGAGAUUGGGUCAGUGAUUGCAUUUUCUACAGAUAGUUAGUAUUGGAUUAUGAUAGUAUAGUAGCAUAUAGCUGUAGAAUUGUUCCAGUUUUCUUUACUAUUCUUGAGCAUACUUCUGUAGAGUUAGUGGGUGAGCCAUUGAGGUCGGUAGCGGUACCCACUGAGGACUAUUUCGUUUUGCAGUAGUUCUCACACCUAGUUGUUGAACUCUUUUUGCAGAGUCUUCUUCUUCGGCUGCUGCUGUUGCGGAUACAGAUCGUGAAAAGGAAGUCGCGAGUUAGAUCCCUUCCCAUUUGCUGCUGAUCUAGAGAUACACCAGCUAUAGGUAGUAUUGGUUUUUAGUUCUUAUACAUACUGAUAUUAGAUCCUCGCUGGAGCAAGUGUUAUGAAUCUGGAGACUAUGUAUGUAUAGAGAACCUGAUGUUAUUUAUACAUGUUUCAGUUUAGCAGAUCUAUACUACUAGUUGUAGUUUUGUAUGAUUACAGGUAUAGGUACAGCUAUCGCUUCGUAUACAGAAAAAAUUUCUUUGUAUAUGGCUGAUUUGUCGGCGUGCCCGGAAAAACGAAUAAUCCGGGAUAUGACAGAAGAAAUAAGCAAAAGCCUCUAAUCUGAGAUACCCUGCAAUUGUUAAAACAGAAGUCAUAUCAAAUUUAAAUAAGACGAUUCCACAUUAUUUAGUGUAGAAAAAAAAAAAAUUUCUAUGUUCUUUCUUAAGCUUAAAGGUAUAGAAAAAUGAGUAGGGCUAGAAUACUUUUACAAGUAUCACCCAAGUGAUACUUGUGUGUUUUUAGCCAUUGGAUCUACUUUUUGAUUACUAAUAGUCCUUGGAUCAAACACUAUUCUACCUACCACCACCUACCACCAUCAUCUCAACCUCACAUCUCUCCAUCCAAGGGCUAAAAACACACAAGUAUCACUUGGAUGAUACUUUUACAAGUAUUCUAGCUCUACUCUAGAAAAAUAUACAUAAAUAGAAAACAAAGAUAGGAGUCUAUUUUUUAAUCCAACUAUAUUAAAACUUUGGGUUUUAAUUAAAUUAAAGCAAGAUCAUCCUUAUCUAGCAAACUUUAUUAUGUUCACAGUAUCCAAGUACAGCAAACUUAGUAAUUAAUUGGUGACACAAUUUGGAAGCAUCCAAACCCUAGGCACAAAACAUUGAUUACUUCAAUAAAUUCACUUUGGUUCCACCACCACUACUGCAUAGUGCAGUUGUUUGGUUCUUAGGAUGAUCCCAGAUUUGUUCGAAAUUGUUAAAUAACAGAAGCUUAAGCAGAUUAAAAAAAUUUGAUAUUUUUGGACUCAAAAUUUUUUGAUAUGUUUAACGAUAUUUUUCACGUUUGGACUCAAAAUUUUUGGAUAUACACAUGAUGUGAACUUAAAUUAAAUGAGAUAAAAUUAAUUAUUUUCAGAACUUGGAGUGACUCGAAUUCGUGCUCUAAUACUAUAUUAAAUAAUGUGAAACAACUGUUAUUUUUUAAAAUUCAACAUUCCUCUGAAACAGUACAGUACAAAUUCAUCUCUUUCUCUCUGGUUCUUCAUUUUUUUUGUAGAAAAAAUUAUUUUUCUUUAUAGUUUAUUUUUUAUAUAUAUAGAGUAGGGCUACUGUGCUCUCAGGAGCACGGAGGCCUCCGUGCUCUUGAGCCGUUUUCGAUGAUGAAAUUUUCGAAUCGACGAUCGGCUCCGUUAGACUUGAUCUAGCAUAUUUGAAGUUUCUAGAAAAUAAUUUUUGCGAUUUUUCGAUAUCAUUUACCUAGCAAUCGAAAAGAUUCAAAAUCUAUAAUUUUUAACGGCUAAAAAUAAAAAUCCUAUAAAAAGUGGUGAUAUAGCACUAAAAUUUUCGAUCAGAAAUAUUGAUUUUGUUGUAGAUAGUAUAAAGAAUUUUGUAUCAAAAUUUCAUCUGAUUUGAAUACUUCUACACCGUUAAACUUAAAAACGGCAGAUAUCAACCAUUAAAAAUUAUUGAUUUUGAAUCCUUUCGAUCACUAGGUAAAUGAUAUCAAAAAAUAGCAAAAAAUAUUUUCUAGAAACUUCAAAUGCGCUAGAUCAAGUCUAACGGAGCCGAUCGUCGAUUCGAAAAUUUCAUCAUCGAAAACAGCCUCACGGUCCCGGUUGUUCCUGGAGAGCAGCAGUCAGCCUGCUAUAAGUAUUAUAUAUAUUAUAAUAUAAUUAUAGAUAUCCGGCUGGAGAUAUCUAUCGAUAGUACCGAAGGAUUUGGUGCUAUCUGAGUUUGUUCCCGCUAGAUUUUAACCCUCAUGAAUUAAUUUUAACAUCCGUUCGCAUUAUUAAACUUAUUCAACCAAACCAUCUGCACUCAACCCUAGGGGGCCCAACAGCAUUCGCUAGACUCACCUAUUUCUCAGAUCUAAGGCGAAAAAAUGCCAAUACACAUAUUGGUGCUUUUUGAUAGUACUCCAGCCCACGUUCAUAGUAUGAGUCCGGUUGGAUCUAAUCGGAUAAGUACCAAGGAUUUGGUGUUAUCGAUUUCCACCGUUAGAUUAACCAUCUGAUUAUUUUUAACCCGUUAGAAGUUAUAUUAUUCAAUCAAAUCAACCAACCACUCGGGUCACUCACCCUAUGGGGUCCGACAACAUCCUAACCGGACCUAUUUCUCAAUCUAAGGCUAAAAAAUCAAUAGCACCAAUAGCUUGGUGCUUUUAUAGUAUGUCCAACCUAGUAUAUAUAUAUUAAAUAUUAUAUAUAAUAUAGAGUGAGGUGCUACUAUGCUAUCGGAAGGCAACGGAGCAUUCCGUGCUUCCAGUCUCGUUUCGAUGUUUGCGACGUUCGAAUCGUCGAUCGCCUCCGUGUAAACUUGAUCUAGAGUAUUGAAGUAGCUAGAAAAUAAGUUUUAUGAUUUUACGAUAUCAUUUGCUAGUGAACAAGGCUCAAAUCAACAGGCUGGAAAUAAAGCUGUACAAAUGUAAUGAAUAUAAAUUAAAAAGUUUAAAUAAAUAAUAUGAGUCUGUUUUUAUAUAGUAUAAUAGAAUUUUCUAUGCAAAUUUCACGUGAUUUGGAAUAUUUCUCAAAAAACCGUUAAACUUGCAAACGGCUCACUACGGGCUAUUAAAUUUAUUGAUUUUGAGCCCAUUCGAUCAUCGAGGCAAAUGAUAUCAGAAAAAUAAUAAAAAUUUUAUUUUCCUAGGUCACCAAAUACUCUAGAUCAAGUUAAACGGAGCCGAUCGACGGAUUCGAAAGUCGCAGACAAUAGAAUCAGCCUGGAAGCACGGAAGCCCGUGCUCUCGAUAGGCAUGUAGCCUGCACUCUAUAUAAUAUAAUACUAGAUGAGAGAGAGAGAUAGGAAAAAAAUAGAGAAGAGAGAGACGGAGGAGAGAAGAGAGAGAUGAGAGAGAGAGAGAGAAGUUAGCUAGAAUACCUAGGUCGGAUAGCAAACGGGUUCCGUUGCCACCCAUUUGUUUUCGAUGAUAGAGCCUCCAAAUCGACGAUUGGCACCGUUGAACAUAAUCUAUACUACUUGAAGUGUUUAGAAAUCAAAUUUCAAAUCUUUUUGACAUCAUUUGUCUAAUGAUCAAAGGGUUUCAAAAUUUGUAAUUUUAAUUGUCGAUAUGAGGCGUUUUCUCGUUUAACGGUGUAAAGAUACUCAAAUCAAUUGAAUUUUUGUUAGAAAAUUCUUUAAACUAUUUAAAACAAGAUCUAUACUCUUGAUCUUGAUUACAAGACUCCUAUCAUCAUUUUUUAAAAAAUAUUCAUUUUCAGCCGUUCAUUUUUGUGUCCACUCGAUGGAUAAGAGAACAAUAUUGAAAAUGUAUGAAAUUUGAUUUCCAAACACUUUAAGUGGUAUAGAUCAUGUUUAACGGUGCCGAUUGUCGAUUUGGAGGCUCCAUCAUCGAAAACAAAUGGGUGGCAACGGAGCCCGUUUCCUAUCGAUAGUAUUCUAACUCAACUAUAUAUAUAUAUAUAUAUAUAUAUAUAUAUAUAUAAAGAGAGUACAUAAUAUAGUUGGUAGGUAUUCAAUUGCCACCUAAAGAGGUAGGAUGUUGGAUCUCUUAUUAGUAGACCCGUCAUUUUCUAUUUAUAUCCGCGUAUACUCAUAGAUUACUUAUAAAUUUGCAGGUAUGAAUAUUAAUUUUUCUUAUCCAAAAAAUUAUGCGUAACACGAAUGAGUAUCCGUUAAAAUUGUGGACAUUUUUUGUCUAUCCACUUAAAAAUUCUAAAUCUAACUACUCUUCUUCUUCUUUUCUUUCUGUGGCCCUCUCUCUUACCACGCCGCCUCUUUUGCCGCGCUGUUCUACCACCCUUCGGCUGCCUGCUUUACAUGUAAAAUAUCUUUACAUAUAGUUUAUGCGUUUUAAAAUUUAUAUUAUUUAUUAUAUAUUAUGAUAUUUCAAAUAAUAAAUUAUAUUAUAAUCUUUUAAAAGUUAUGUAUAUGUAAUUUGCAUUUGAAAAAUAUAAGAAUUAAAUAAAAAAAAAAGAAGAAUAUCUUACAGGUAAUCCGCAUAUCCACUCACCUGUUCACAGACGGAUAUAGAUAAAGAUACAGACUAUCUAAAAAUUUGCUUUAUAUUUAUAUAAUCUGCGAGUAAAAUAAUCCAUCUGUCAUUUAUUUAAUUCGUCUGUUUGUCGGGCCUACCUACCUACCUACCUACCUACGAGGGGGCAGACUAAAAUUGACCAUCUUAUAAUUAGCCAUUCAAACAUGGUUUCAAUGAAGAAGUUAUGUGUGAGUGGACAACUUCCCAACCCCUUUACAAUGACUCAUUUGACCCCAUUUUCAAUGCCCUCCCCAAAUUUAAUUAGGAGAGCCCUCAAAAUGAGUGAUGGAGAGAACUAUUAGGUGAUUCCCCCCUUGCCAAAGAACCCAUUUUUAACCACAACCCACCAAUAAUCAUUGUAGAGAGAGAUAAAAAAAAUAUAAGCCCAAAUAAAGAGGGGGAAGAGAGAGAAAAAGUAGGAAGAGGACAGGUGUUCAUUCUUGAUUAGGCCAUGAAGAGAGAGAGAGAGAGAGGGGAGAAGAAGAUAAGCCCAUCCUCCAUCCCUAUUUCCCAACCAAGUAACCAACCAUAUAAAUCCCCACCCCAUGAAUUAGAAUCUUUGUUCCUCUCUCUCUCUCUCUCUCUCUCUCUCUCUCUAUCCCCCCUCUCACCCAACCCCUCCCCAAAAUCCAAUUUUUAAGAAAGAGGGAGGAAGGAGACUCUCUCUCUUCUCUCUCUCUCUCUCUAAAGAGGGAGGAAGGAGAGGGAUUUGGGUGUUGAUCUCUCUCUCUCUCUCUCUUCUUCAACCCCAAAAUCCAAUUUUUAUAAGAUUGGGUGUUAAAGAGAGAGAGAGAGAGAGUGUGUGUGUGUGAGGAGAGAGAAAAUAGGAGGGAUUUGGGUGUUGGUUGUUGAGGAGGAAGAAGAUCUUUGAUGAGCUAAAAAAGCUUUUGUAAGGUUUGUGGAGGGGGUGAGGUGUGGAAGGGUCCCCCACACUUCAUAUUGUUGUUUUCCCACACUAUCAUCCCCCCUCUCUAUCUCUCUCUACUUUCUCUCUCUACAAACCUUCUCAAUUUCCUCUCACUCCUAUUAAAACCACCCCCUCCUCCAAAGCUCCCUCCUUUGUGUUGUGUUGUGUUGUGUUGUGUUGUGUUAGGUUACACCCACUCCCAUCCACCCAUUUCCCAAACUAAGAUUUUGUUGGUGGUUUUUAGUUGCAACACCACCAUCCUCUUUGAUGUGAGAGAAAAAAAAAGGGGACCCAAAAACCCAAACCCAAUUCUUAGGAUUAUUAAUUAAUCCAUUAAAGUUCAAAAUCCUGAGAUUUCUUUUUUUUUUCUUAUUAUUUAUCCAAAAAAAAAAUUGGAAUUUUUGCAUCUGAUUGGUGUUUUUUUUUUUUUUUUU